GACAGAAGAUGGCAUCUCCACGAUGAUCAACAAGAACAACAAUUCAUGUGUGAAUCACUUCUUUGGCUUUUGGCUGAGAUCAAGUGCAAUGCACGUGUGACCUCUCGUCCUCUGGUGUCUCUGAUGAUUAGAUGAAGACAGACUAUGUCUGCUGAAAGAGAAGGAGACGGAUUUUACCUUGGAGCGUCCCUCCCGGAAGACUUGCCAAGGAAUGCACUUUGGACUGGAAGAAUUUCCACAGCUGUGUGGAGGGUGGUGUUCUGAUGGCCAAGCCCCAAAUGAUGUUGUUGGCCCAUGUGGAAGACUUGAUCUUUGCAGGGAGGUCAAGGAAACCUAGCAAAAAUGAUGGAAGGUAGGAAGGCAAGAAUGGUAGGAGAAAUAUGAAAAGAAUUGGGAGUUUUUCUCCUUGAGCAGAGGCACCUAAAAGCAGACAACUUUUACAUAGUAGCUUGAUUUUGAGGAAGUCCUUUUUCUGGGCCUCAGUUUGCUCAUCUGGGAAAUGAAGGAGAUUAACAAUAUGAUCCAUACAGUUGCUUUCGGCCCUAAAUUCUGUGAUUCGAGGAAAAAUUACAUAUAUGAAAGAUUUUUAUGCAUAAGCAAGGGUCUGUUUUCCAACUCCAUUGCAACAAAAGAGGAAAAUAUGAGAUCUGAAGCAGAACUUCUUGACUUUGAGAAUUUUUUCUCUAGGAGAAAACAAUGGAUGUUUUAAAAUGCCAGUUUCUUGGAAAUUUAUAAGGAAAUAAUACAUUGCUAUUUUUUUUUCUGGGAUGAAAUUAUCUAAAGGAUCCACCCCCUAAAAAUGUGAAUUUGAAUUUGCAUGGAAGUUAAUAUAUUAAAAUGUAAACGCCAGGUUCUAAGUUCUUAAAAAAAGUUCUUGCAUGUCAGCAGGGGAGGUGUGAGGUGACUUCUUUAGCAAGUUACUUGUGCAUUUUUAGCUAUAUGAAUCCCUCUUAAAGAGGAGAUACUUUCUAAAUUGAGCAAGUGCGUUUUAUAAUCCUGAGAUGGACACAGAGCAAAAUUUGGAAGCAUUAGUUUUUAAAAAAAUAUUAUUAAAACCAUGCUCUAAGUUUAAAAAAUGUGGAAGGCAGAGUAACGUAUCUUCCAUCUCCCCAAGAUAGCCAAGUGCUUAUCCUAGGAGUUUGCAAUAUGUUAAUUUACAGGGCUAAAGAGAGUUUGCAGAUGUGCUUAAAGUAAGGAUUUGAGAUGAGAUUAUCCUGGGUUGCCCAAUGUAAUCAUAGGAGCUCCGAAAAGAUGGAAGAGGGAGGCAGAGAAGGAAUGUGUCCACAGAAACAGAGCCUGGAGUGAUGUGAUUGGCAGAAGGGGCAUUAGCUAAGGAAUUCACCAGUCUGCUAGAAUCCAGAAAAGGCAACAAAACAAAUUAUCCCUCAGAGCCCCUGCAGGCAGCAUGGCCCCACUGACACCUUGAUUUUGGCCCAGUGAACCCAUUUCAGGCCUCUGAUUUCCAGCACUGUAAGAUAAUAAAUGUUUGUUGUUUUAG
rnacentral:lncRNA from 1 species